AUAAAAAGGGCAAAAAGGAGACUUGGAGAUGCCUCAGGGCCCCAUCACAUCAGCACAAAUCUGGGCUUUUCAAAACUACCAGAUGGAUUAAGUUGAACAAUGGCUAUGGCUCUGUGGCCUCCCUAGGUUCAGGUAAUCCUCAUCCCUGUUUUCACACAUGCAGCACAUAAUAGCCAUCAGUGAUUGUUUGCUGAGCAAUUGACAAAGGUUCCUGGAGUCUCUCCUUCUCCACUCCUGGACAUAUACGGUAGUUGACCUUGCUGCUCUCCAUCCCUCAGAAACAGGUAGCCAUGAAUGGCUGUGCUUGUCCCUUUAAGCUGGGUCACCUGCUCCUAUGUCCCUGGCCUACCAUGCACUGAUCUGCCAUCUCUCUUCUGUUCCCUCUCUAUGUGGUACGAUGGUUGACAUCUGAGCUUGACUUAGCCCUCCAUGUUCUCUAGACUUCAGGAUCUCCACAGCUCUGGGUCUGAACCUUUCUCUGUCAUCAGACAAUACCACAAGAGGCUAGGACAAAUUUUCCAGUUUGGUCUCUGUGCAUAUUAUUAUUUUGAUCUGUUGUCCCUUAUCUGGAUAGCAGCCAUCUGAUUUUCUUCCCAGGAACUACCUCUUCUUUGUCUCUUAGGCCUGUGCUUCAGGUGGGAUUUCACCCACAGCACACAAGAGUCCUUGGCCACAAACACUGUUAAGACAGGCACAGGAGCAUAGCUGGAUUAAUAAGCAAAGACCAUGUCUUCACUUAUCAGCAGUGAGAAAGCUUCUAGGAAGUGACACUCACUUUCCUGUUGGUCUUGCCCUAGAAAAGUGUGGUCUGCAGCUAUAGUACUUGUUCCAUCAUUAGGAGAAGGCCUGCAGAGUGGCCCUAGUAGAAGAGGCAAAGUCAAAAAAUAUGGCAAAAAUACAUGGGCCUGACAUGAGUUGAUACAUGGAUCAAGCACUUGAAGCUAAUAUAAGCCAACAGUUUCUCUUUUGGGUUUUAUGUCUCUUGCAACUCCAGGUACCCUAAUUAGUGUAGACUCCCAGCAUAGGCCCUUGCCCCUGGCAUCACCAAUACAAACUUCUAUACAUGUUUGGUUUUUAUCCUGUGUUCUAUUCCCUCACGCAUAUCAGGAAAGCACCAGCAUGCCUUUGGGACCAGCGGUUUGAUAUACAGGCAACACUUCUUCAGGUACAGGACACCUGCUUACUUGUAUUAGUGCUAAAUGAGGUCAGAAGCAUUAAGGAGGGCCUGAGAGUCUAAGGAAGCCAGGGACAAAGCCUUACUUAUGCUCCAACAUCCUAGGAUCCUGGGCUACCUGCUCAGAUCACUGCAGUGGCUCGGACACUACAAACCCAGAACUGUCACAUUCUCAGCAGAGUUGGUGAAGAACCCAAGUAUUAGAAUCAACAAUAUGGCUUUCAUUCCUGACAAUGACUUUUGAGCUGCAGACCCUUGGCUAAGUCCCCAUCUUCUCUGAGCCUGACCUUUUCUCUGAGAUCCCCAAAGGAGAGCUGAACAGAUUACAUGGGUCAACCUACUGGAAUGGGCCACUGUUUCUCUAGGGCGUGUGCCUGGCUAAGGGUGAGUAACUUGGCCUCACAUCCCUCCUGCAGCUGUGUGGAGACAUGCUCACACACAGGAGGUGCUCACACAGACUUACAUGUGCUCAGGUCCCAGGCGGGGUGGUCUGGGAGGGAGACUGACUUUGGCCCCAGUCCUUCUGUAGCUAUCCUUCAUUUGUGCUGAAAUGAAGGUGAUAUGGCUUAGAAAGAAAGCUGCUAUUUUUAAGCUGGCUCUUCACUGGCUGCAGAUGUUUCUCAGUUCUUCCAGGGCAUACUAGGAGCUCUACCCACACUGCUGGGCGGCCUGGCCUCUCUGGUUCCCUGCAAUGAGGGGAAUGCAACCUGGGAAGGCAAUAUUGAAUGCUCAUUCAGAAAUCUCCUCAAUUUUCAACUCAGCCUUACAGAUUUUCAGAAUUUUGAUUUCUCUGUUUAUUGGCAAGUUUUCCCUCCUGAAAUGAAAUGUGUCUUUCCAGAGGAGCAAACUGCAGCCUUGCUAAGCCUUUUAGAAGUCUGUCUCUGGGUUAGCCUGGGCUAUAAAAGGUUGAGUGCAUGUGCGAAGACAGGUCUAGCCUAUUACCCUAAAAAGAGACCUGCUGCCAUCUGGGGGCAAUGCUGCUUUUGGUAAUGGCAAUGAGUGAGUUGAAACAACUGUGGACAGCAACCCUACCAGAACAGAAGGCGGGGCCCUGUCACAGUCACCCUACAGCUGGCACAAAGGCUGGACUGGAGCCAGAGGAACUAGAGAGAAUGUGGUGGGGAGACCAACACAGUGCUCUGCUUUCUUGCACAAAGACUGGUUGAAAAGAGCAGAAAAAAAGGGCAAUGGAGAGGGGAAACACACUUUGGAAGUGACAGGGUUGGAAAGAAUGGUGUAUAGGGAGCUUUGCAUCCAGGAUCUAAGAAUGUGGCUGGUGAGUCCCAAUGAGAAAAAUGACUUUGACGUUUGCCAGCCUGCUCCCAGCUGGAUUCACUGGCAUGCCCCCUGCUCCUCUGCUCUCAAGUCCAAGCCAGAAUCAGGCAGCAUCAUCUGUUCUCUCCAGUGCCAGUUCCCAGAGAAGCCACCAGGACCUUUCCCUCUGCUCAGUGACAGCUUCCUCUGGGCUUAAGCUUUGUUUUUCUACUGAGAGCGACAGGGACACAGGUCAGUUAUAAGUGCAUGGGCAGGAGGGCAUGUUUCAAGACCUGAGAAGAAGACAAAGCCCUACGAAGACAGGGCUGGCUGGAAGCUUUCCAGAAGCCACAGUGGUGCUUGAUGGGGACUCUGGUUUAAUCAUAUUUUUAAGCUUUACAUAAGAGAAGUUCCUAAAUCUCUGCUCAGAUGGGAGAACAACAGAAGCAUCUUUCAGCUCACAAACCUGACGGCCUGGGAAGCAGGACAACUGCUUCCUUCACCUAAGGACAACUACUUCCUCUACCUAAGGACAACUGCUUCCUCCUCGAUGCCACAGGGAGCAGAGCAGGAAGAGCCGUGUCAAGAAAAAAACAGGAACAGUGUGCAGCCUCUGCUGCACCUACCAGCAGAAGAUCUGCACGGACCCGGGCAGCAGCAGUGUCCAUCCAUGACCGAGAAAGCUGCAGUCUAAGAACUCACUGGCUGCCGCAGAGGACCUGGGCAGUAGCUUUUCAUCCCCUUCUGGUGGGAAUACAAACUGGCAAUUUAUACAAAAGACCUAAAAGAUGCACAUGUCCUUUGGCCCACCAUUUUCAUUUUUAGACACUUAUCCUAACUAAAGAAUAAAAAUUGCUGCACAGUCUUAUGAGAAUAUUUGCCUAAAAAAUUGGAACUUAGGUGCCCAUCAGAUAAAAUUUUUGGAGCCCUUUAAAACAAUGACAAAUGGAAGAAAUAUAUAGUGGCCUGGGUUAUGCUCAGGAUAUACUAAGUGAAAAUGUAGGCUAUGAA